rnacentral:rRNA from 1 species
CCUACGGGUGACAGCAGUGAGGAAUAUUGGUCAAUGGGAGAGAUCCUGAACCAGCCAAGCCGCGUGAGGGAAGACGGCCCUAUGGGUUGUAAACCUCUUUUGUCGGGGAACAAAACCCUGGACGUGUGCCGGUCUGCGUGUCUCCGAAGAAAAAGCACCGGCUAAAUCCGUGCCAGCAGCCGCGGUCUUACGGAAGGUGCGAGAGUUAUCCUAAUUUAUUGGGGUUAAAGGGUGCGUAGGCGGGCCGUUAAGUCAGCGGUAAAAUUGCGGGGCUCAACCCCGUCGCGCCGUUGAAACUGGCAGACUUGAGUUGGCGAGAAGUACGCGGAAUGCGCGGUGUAGCGGUGAAAUGCAUAGAUAUCGCGCAGAACUCCGAUUGCGAAGGCAGCUUACCGGCGCCAGACUGACGCUGAGGCACGAAAGCGUGGGGAGCAAACAGGAUAGAUACCCGUGUAGUC